rnacentral:snoRNA from 1 species
ACGACCUUACUUGAACAUGAUCUGUUCUAUAUGCUCGUACCGCUGCAUCCUUUACCAAUAAAGAGAGGACCAAAGAGAAUGCAGAAGACACGGACACACCACCAUUAUA